GUCGUACGAGAAAGUUGGCUUCGGCCGAUGAGUAAAGUGGCGCACGGGUGAGUAACGCGUGGAUAAUCUACCCUUUAGUCGGGAAUAACCCACCGAAAGGUGAGCUAAUACCGGAUAACGCUGCAUAACUACUGUUGUGUAGCCAAAGAAGGCCUCUGCUUGCAGGCUUUUGCUGAAGGAUGAGUCCGCGUACCAUUAGCUAGUUGGCAGGGUAAUGGCCUACCAAGGCGACGAUGGUUAGCUGGUCUGAGAGGAUGAUCAGCCACACUGGAACUGAGACACGGUCCAGACUCCUACGGGAGGCAGCAGUGAGGAAUAUUGCGCAAUGGGGGCAACCCUGACGCAGCAACGCCGCGUGAGUGAGGAAGGUUUUCGGACCGUAAAGCUCUGUCGAGCGGGAAGAAAUGCAUCAUGGCUAACAUCCAUGAUGCUUGACGGUACCGCUAGAGGAAGCACCGGCUAACUCCGUGCCAGCAGCCGCGGUAAUACGGGGGGUGCAAGCGUUGUUCGGAAUCAUUGGGCGUAAAGAGCGUGUAGGCGGUUGGACAAGUCAGAUGUGAAAGCCCUGGGCUUAACCCAGGAAGUGCAUUUGAAACUGUUCAGCUUGAGUAAGGGAGAGGAAAGUGGAAUUCCUGGUGUAGAGGUGAAAUUCGUAGAUAUCAGGAGGAACACCGGUGGCGAAGGCGACUUUCUGGCCCUAUACUGACGCUGAGACGCGAGAGCGUGGGUAGCAAACAGGAUUAGAUACCCUGGUAGUCCACGCUGUAAACGAUGUUCACUAGGUGUUGGGGGUAUUGACCCUCUCAGUGCCGCAGCUAACGCAUUAAGUGAACCGCCUGGGGAGUACGGUCGCAAGAUUAAAACUCAAAUGAAUUGACGG
rnacentral:rRNA from 1 species